GGAACGUUGAAGACGACGACGUUGAUAGGCCGGGUGUGUAAGCGCAGCGAUGCGUUGAGCUAACCGGUACUAAUGAACCGUGAGGCUUAACCUU
rnacentral:ncRNA from 7 species